AAUAAAGUCCCGGUGUGUGUGCGAGCGUGUUGUCUGUGGAUGCGGGUGCCUGUGAGUGUGAGCGCGUGCGCUAGCGCUGCAACCUCGCACGAAUAAUAAAAUCUGGGUCUAUGUGAGUGUGUGUCUGUGUGCGCGCGUGCCUGCGGGGAUGUGUGUACUACGCUUGUAACUCACCCUGAAUAAAGUCCGGGCGCGCGCGAGAGUGUGCGCGCGUGCACGCGGGGCUGCGUUAGCGCUGUGACACGCCGUGAAUAAAGUCCGGGGCUGCGUGUGCGCGCGCGCGUGCCUGCGGGAGUACGCGAGUGCAGGCAUGAGGGGGAACGUGUGCAUACAUACGUGUGUGUGUGUGUGUGCGAAGUUGAAAUUGCAAGAGUUUACCAAAUGCUUCCCCGGAGCGUGCGAGAAGAAACGGCCACUACCCGAGUAAAGAGCAUCUCUCUCUCCCAGUUUAACCAUAAGUCUUUCAGAAAAGACAUUUUCUGCAACUUCCGAGGAGUACAUUAAAACAGAGAGUGAGCAUGGCCAUGGUAUAGGAAACAGGAACUGACUUCAAAGUCAGGAAACCUUGGGUUCAAGUCACCUAACCCCAGGACAAGUUACUUUCCAGUAUUUGAGACAACACUCCAGAAGGAAGUGCAGAGAUGUCUGCCUGCUUUGGUAAAUGGUAUUUCCCAUCCCUGUACCUCACCAUCUAUUUCCCUUCACUAAUGAAAUCUUAGGCCCAAUUGCCAUCUCUAUAUUAAAAUAAAGUAUUUUCUAUUUUGUGUCUUAGAGUUGAGAUUCAGUUGAACUUUCUGAGUUCAAGAGCAAGGAGGAAUUGUUUUGUUUGUCAGCACCUAGCAUUCUUAAGCUCCCUCCUGGAGCAAGUAAUCCAAUAUAGGUUAAAUGUGUGCAGUUUUUCUAAACAUAUUUCUACUU
rnacentral:lncRNA from 1 species